rnacentral:rRNA from 1 species
AACAGUUGGAAACAGCUGCUAAUGCCGGAUACGACCUUCGAUGGCAUCAUCUGGAGGUGGAAAGUGCUUUAGCGGUCAAGGAUGGACUCGCGGCCUAUCAGCUAGUUGGUGAGGUAACGGCUCACCAAGGCUUCGACGGGUAGCCGGCGUGAGAGCGUGGCCCCCCACAUUGGCACUGAGACACGGGCCAAACUCCUACGGGAGGCAGCAGUGAGGAAUAUUGCACAAUGGGCGAAAGCCUGAUGCAGCAACGCCGCGUGAGGGACGAAGGCCUUCGGGUCGUAAACCUCUUUUCUGAGGGACGAGUAAGGACGGUACCUCAGGAAUAAGUCUCGGCUAACUACGUGCCAGCAGCCGCGGUAAAACGUAGGAGGCGAGCGUUAUCCGGAUUUACUGGGCGUAAAGCGUACGCAGGUGGCCAUGCAAGUCGGACAUGAAAGCUCCUGGCUUAACUGGGAGAGGUCGUUCAAAACUGUCAGACUCGAGAGUGGUAGAGGGAGGUGGAAUUCCGGGUGUAGUGGUGAAAUGCGUAGAUAUCCGGAGGAACACCAGUGGCGAAAGCGGCCUCCUGGCCCAUUUCUGACGCUCAGACACGAAAGCUAAGGUAGCAA